rnacentral:lncRNA from 1 species
UCUUUUUGGAUGGGGACAGCAUGAGCACAAGAUGUAACCAAAGGACAAGAUGUAGCUAUGAGUGUCUCCCAGUUUCAAUGGCAGAUUCGUCAGGGUUUGACACUGGAGGAUUUAGAUUUAAUAAGGCUUACAAGAUUAGGAUUUUAGUUGUUGCACCCAACAAUUGGGUUUCUGUCAUUUCUGAACUAAGUUUGUGUUGUGUUUUCCUUCAAAAGGCAGCUAGUCUGGGUUCAAGAGAGAAAGUCUGUGAUUGUCCUUCUGAUGUCCUGACCAACUCUUCCACAGAGGAGAGUUACACAGAAAUGUUAAUGUCAAGGAAAUAGGGCUCUUUUGGACCCAUCUUGGAAGUCACCCACCCACAGCACUUAGAUACACUUUCUGAGAAGUGAAUGGAUUGUUCUGAUCAGCUUUAAACACUGUGAACUCAGUCCACUCAGCCUCAUCUACCAUAAGACCCUCAGUAAUGUCAUAUACUUUAUAACGUUAGUGUUUUCAUUCUUGGGGGCUGUAGAUGAAAAUAUUCUACUUUUAUUGUAUCUCAAGUCUUAAUAUGGGUAUUGUAAAAUGACUCUGAAAUUAAGUAAUUUUAGAACCACGGAGAACAUGUGUUGCUAAAACUCUCCCACAGGGUCACCCCCAAGCAAAAUCAUGGAGCUAAGAAAGCUUCUUAUUUCUCACUCGCCUCUGCAGCCCUCCGCUGCUCCAUUGCCCUGUGUGUGCACUAUUCAGCUCAAUAGGGAGGGACACUUAUCAUGCAGGGUGUACUUUUACAUACCUUGAAAGUGCCACUUGGAGAUAAUGAUCAUGUACAAAUGAAUAUCUCAUUCAAAGUCAGUAAAAGC